AGCUCCAAUAGCGUAUAUUUAAGUUGUUGCAGUUAAAAAGCUCGUAGUCGGAUUUCGGCACUCCUUGAUACUGUCCGCCGAAUGGUGUGUACGGUUUCGAGGGUGCUUCCUUCUAGUAAACCUCUCUGCUCUUCAUUGACGUGGAGAGAGUGCACUAGAUAUUUUACUUUGAAAAAAUUAGAGUGUUCAAAGCAGGCCUUCGCUCUGCAUAGCUUAGCAUGGAAUAAUAGAAUAGGACUCGGGUUCUAUUUUGUUGGUUUCUAGGACCGGAGUAAUGAUUAAUAGGGACAGUUGGGGGCAUUCAUAUUCCAUAGUCAGAGGUGAAAUUCUUGGAUUUACGGAAGAUGAACUUCUGCGAAAGCAUCUGCCAAGGAUGUUUUCA
rnacentral:rRNA from 1 species